GACGAACGCUGGCGGCGUGCCUAAUACAUGCAAGUCGAGCGAUGAUUAAAGAUAGCUUGCUAUUUUUAUGAAGAGCGGCGAACGGGUGAGUAACGCGUGGGAAAUCUGCCGAGUAGCGGGGGACAACGUUUGGAAACGAACGCUAAUACCGCAUAACCAUGAGAAUCGCAUGAUUCUUAUUUGAAAGAAGCAAUUGCUUCACUACUUGAUGAUCCCGCGUUGUAUUAGCUAGUUGGUAGUGUAAAGGACUACCAAGGCGAUGAUACAUAGCCGACCUGAGAGGGUGAUCGGCCACACUGGGACUGAGACACGGCCCAGACUCCUACGGGAGGCAGCAGUAGGGAAUCUUCGGCAAUGGGAGCAACCCUGACCGAGCAACGCCGCGUGAGUGAAGAAGGUUUUCGGAUCGUAAAACUCUGUUGUUAGAGAAGAACGUUAAGUAGAGUGGAAAAUUACUUAAGUGACGGUAUCUAACCAGAAAGGGACGGCUAACUACGUGCCAGCCGCCGCCGUAA
rnacentral:rRNA from 1 species